GAUGAACGCUGGCGGCGUGCCUAAUACAUGCAAGUCGAGCGAACAGACGAGGAGCUUGCUCCUCUGACGUUAGCGGCGGACGGGUGAGUAACACGUGGAUAACCUACCUAUAAGACUGGGAUAACUUCGGGAAACCGGAGCUAAUACCGGAUAAUAUAUUGAACCGCAUGGUUCAAUAGUGAAAGACGGUUUUGCUGUCACGUAUAGAUGGAUCCGCGCCGCAUUAGCUAGUUGGUAAGGUAACGGCUUACCAAGGCAACGAUGCGUAGCCGACCUGAGAGGGUGAUCGGCCACACUGGAACUGAGACACGGUCCAGACUCCUACGGGAGGCAGCAGUAGGGAAUCUUCCGCAAUGGGCGAAAGCCUGACGGAGCAACGCCGCGUGAGUGAUGAAGGUCUUCGGAUCGUAAAACUCUGUUAUUAGGGAAGAACAAAUGUGUAAGUAACUAUGCACGUCUUGACGGUAACUAAUCAGAAAGCCACGGCUAACUACGUG
rnacentral:rRNA from 1 species